AAUUUUGUUGGUGUGGAGAAUAGUAGUGGAGGAGGGAGUGGUAAAGCGAUUUCUGAAGUAGGGUGGGACAUACUUGGGGAAAAUCAAGAGCAUGUUGGUCCAUAUGCAUUCUCUGAAUUACAAGGAUUUUGGCCUUGUUCUGAAAAUCCGUAUCUGUGAGAUGAACUGUAUCGUGUGCAUUCUCCAGUGCUCACUGGAAGGAACUUUGAAGGAAUUCCCAUGCUUUUGUUUUGGCAUCAUUAUUGAUGCCAAAAUGUAGUAUCUUUUGUAAAAGAGAAUGCAGUAAAUUUACUGGCUUUGUGUUUGUUCUUGAAUUUUCAGUUACACUAGUAACUAUCAAGGUUUCAGGACAAUUGUUACAUCUGUAUCAUGUUCAUAAUGGUCUUACGAGCUAUUGAACCAUCUACUUGGUUGUGUUUACUUCGCGUGAGCCGAGCAUUUCAAAUAUGGAUACAUCUUCGAAAGUACGCUAUUGUGGGCUGAAGGAAGAACUGAAUAUCUAUACAAAGAUCUGAGCCUGCUGUUGCAGCGACUCCUGAAAAAUGAUGAUGACUUCGCCAAAUGGCAAGAGGAGGUUAGAAAAGCUGAACUCGAAGCUGAGGCUUUGAAGCAUGGCUCAAAAUUAAAUGAUGUUGGUGGGUCAGAUCAGUUGAAAGACUUGGAGGUUAUAAUAUGGACACAGAAACCACUUGUAUUCGAGAACCAUCCUCAGGGAGUCGUUCUGCUCACAAGUGUAUAGAGCUAAUGAACGGAAGAUGGUUUGGUGGUAGGAAAGUACAUGCCAGCAGCAUAGACGAUGGUUCCGUUAAUCAUGCUGCGGUCCGUGAUCUUGAGCAUGACGAAGCUCGGUUAGCUCAGUACGCUGCCGAGCUUGAAGCUGAUGAUUGACAGAGAUAGAAAUACCUUUUGGAGGAGCUAAUAUGGAAGAAACCUGCUUUUGUCCAAAUUGUAAAAUCUCAGUAACUGAGGCUUAUGAGUUGCACAGAAUGCUUUACCUAAUACUGCAGAUAUAUGGGAGGCUUUUGCAUUGGGUUAACGGCUUGCGUAAAAUCCCGGUUCAGAUUUUCUGAGUAUUUUGGUGGGAAGGCUAGAUGUAAAUGAACGCAUUUAAACUGGUAUUACAAAAUGUUCAGGGCACCAUGAAACUUUUUACAUAUAAGACUCUUGUUCAGACCAGGUCAUACCCAUAGACUUAUUACUGCAUGUUUUCAUUUGUUUGAAAGCCUUGGCUAACUUACUCUUUUCUGUAAGAUCUACAAAUUUGGUUAAACAUGGAUGUGAUGCAUGAUGAAAAGAAGAACUUUGUCUAUUUGGAUCUACCAUGGACUAUCAGGAUUUGGCAGGUUUUGCGAAUAAGACAGAUUUCUGAAGUAUAUCUUGAAGCGAACAAAGCCAAAUUGGAGAUGUUGCCAAGGGACGAGGGCCUUAUUUUACCAUGGCUGUAUAUUUUGUUUAUUUUUUGUGUCAGGAACCUUUGUUGUUGUUGAUUUUAACUUGAGUACUGCUUUCAUUUUUGAAUGAAUUCUGUUGGUGUUGUCAGUUGUGCCAUACAUUCAAGUUUCACAUGUCCCAAAAAUUUGUGGUCGUCCAUUUCCUCUCUGAAACAGAGCCAGAGUUUAAAAAUAAUUUUAGUCGGUACAAAAUAUUCUUAAAAAACAAGUGUUUGGUUUUGA